rnacentral:snRNA from 1 species
GUACUCACUUCGGCAGCACAUAUAUACUAAAAUUGGAACCACACAGAGUAGAUUAGCAUGGCCCCUGUGCAAGGAUGACACACAAAUUGGUGAAGCGUUCCAUAUUUUU